CCGGCUCGUCGGCCGGGCCGACCACGGCGGCACCGGCGCCGUCGGCGAAGAUGAUCGCGUUGGCGCGGUCGGUCGGGUCGACCGAGUCGGUC
rnacentral:tRNA from 1 species